CCUAAAGGAUAUGACGGUCAAGGUGUGUGUUUUUUUUGUUACUCAUAAAUCAUUAUCCUUUUAUCUUUAAUUCUAUCCAAACAAUUUUUUUCUCUCUUGAGUGAUUGACGUUAGACACGGACAUUUCACAAGUUCUAUUUUGAAAUCAGUGAGGGGUUUUAGCACGUUGCAUUCCUACAUCAGGUAAAAGUGCUUUUGUGAAUCAGUGUUCCUGGGAUAAUUUUACAUAUAAAUGGUUAUUCUAGAUUGAUGUGCUUGCAAUGGAUCCUGUAAUAAGAAGGUUGAAUAAUACACAGACAGAGCAAUAAGGAGGAUAUGAUAUUCUCCACCAACAGAAUACAGAAACAAGAAAUAAAACAAAGCAAAUUAACCUUUAAUCACACCGGAGAUUAACAAAAGUCUCCAUUUUAAAACUUUAUAAUAAGUAAAUAAUGGAGAAGCCCAAAAAAUCAUUUGUUUUAUAACAACUUCUAAGCGGGAACUUAAUCCUUAAAAUCCCAAGAUUCCACUACAGUUGGACACACCGCAUUACAGUGAAUUUGGUGUAGUCUCAUAAUCUUUAUGCACACUUUCCCUUACCAAAUCCUUUAUAUUGCUCUUUGUAACUUCUUUGAGCUUGCUUGGCAGAUCCAAUUCUUCUCUCAAAUGAUUUAAGUUAGAUUCCAAAUAGGCCAAGAAACUGCAUAUUGUAAAGUGAGAUCUGUUUAUGACUCACUGCUGUUAUGGCACAUAAUGCAGAUACCAGGAAAUAACUAGACGCUUGCCUGGCAAAUUGUGCGAUAAAAUUUCUUAUUGCAAAUAUAGAUUUGAAUUCAUGUUCAUUGUAUCAAAAUGAUGGAAUUUCUUCAUAUAAAACAUAAAAAUUUAAUCGUUCCAUUAUACAAGAAUCGUUUGUCAAAUCACAGGCAACAUCUGAUCAAAUAAAAGAGUGUUUGAAAACCUCUAAUCUGAAUAAGAAAAUAAUCAUGAAGACUUUUUAACAAAUCAAAGUAGCUGUUCUUUUGAGCACAACCUUUGAUGGUGUUUAGAAAAUGAGAUUGUUAAUUCUUGAAAAAUCAUUUAGGAGACAACUUUACCUCCAAUUUCCUCAUUGGUUUGCUCUUCAAUUUUGUUUAGGGAUGGACCUGUUCAUGAGUGUAAGAAUGGUGCUUUACAGAGCAGUGAUGGUGAUAAUGGUUGUUUAGUUUUUAGGAGGGAUAUCCUAAGGCAUGAUACAUCUAUAAUUAUUUAAAUUAAAAUUAUAAAGCUGAAGAAUUUUUAAUUUAAUAAUUAUCAAACAUAGUUAAUAAAAGAAAACUAUUGUAAAUUAGUUAAUAAAGGACAUGAAGGGUUAAGUAGUCUAUAUAGAUACAUUAGGAAAUUUUAUGAAGCUACAUAUUGACAAUAUAAACCACCAAUUGGCAAUACUCUAUAGCAUCCAAUUGUCAAAAAUUCUUAGAGAUCACCUUUAUUAUAUUUAUAUAGAUAUUUUGAUGCCUUACUAAGCCUUCACACUUUCAACAAGUCAUUUUGAUCCUGUGAAUGAUUGCUGAUCAAGCAGAAUUAUUGGCUUUAGAUGGAAACUUAAUUAUCCAAUUACUAUUAGGCAAAGGGAGGAUUUGCAUUCAGAAAACAGGCACUAGGGAGAGUAGGCAAUUUUCUCUAUAGAAAGGAAAAAAUGACAUGUAGGUGGUGAGAUAGACAAAUGAACAUUUGUUUUUGUCUUUAUAUUAUUCAAAUCCAUAUACACAAGGUAGAGUUUGAAUGGGUAAAAAAGAUGUUGAAGACGGAUGAAUAUGUUUAUUUAUUGUGGUUGAACCUCAUUAUUCAAUUUAUUUUUUGUUUUGUCCAUUUCUUCACAAUUCUUUUGCAUAAUGCAAUGCAUAAUUAUUUGUGGAUUGUGUGACUUUAAUUAAGUUGCUAGGUUGCUGUUACUCUUAGUUGAAUUCUAUGAUUGUUAAAAGGUGUUGUUGGUCUGUUUGGGGGAUCUCACACUCUGUACUUUUGAAGUGUUUGUAUUUCCUUUACUGUUGGAACCUUAAAAUUAGUUUGCUAUUUUAAAUUGUUACUUUUUUCCUUGUUAACAUGCAUUAUGCCAUUUGACAGUCCGAGGUCUCAUCACUGCACAUUACCUUCCCUUCAGAAGGAGAGUGGCACAAACUGAAGGAAAAAGGAUUUCUGCAGAGGAUUGGAAUGCAGUACCACUGGAAAAAUCGUAAUUAUAAAGAGUAAGUGAACCAUAAGUUGUCUUGCGAAACAUAAUAAUAUUAAAAUACAUCACUCCGCUUGUUGUAUGUUCAACUGUGAUGCUGAGUUUCUCAAAUACUCCUUUAAGGUGGAUGAACACUUUUUGGAUUUGCUUACACUUUUAUGCUGUAUUAUUAAAAUAUAUCACUUCGCCUGUUGUAUGUUCAACUAUGAUGCUGAUUUUCUCACAUACUCCUUUAUGGUAGAUGAACAAUUUUUGGAUUUGCAUAAACUUUUGUUUGCUGUAUAUUAUAUGUUUUUCUAAUACCUUAGGACAUGUUCCCUUUCCAUUUCUGGGUCCUGCUCAAUUUCCCUGUUCUCAAUUCUUGCCAUCUUGUCUGCAAAUUUUUCAUCAGAAGCAUGUCAUCCUUUAAAAACCCUAUAUAAUGAGAAUGGGUUUAUACAUGCAAGCCCC
rnacentral:misc_RNA from 1 species